rnacentral:rRNA from 1 species
GACGAACGCUGGCGGCGUGCUUAACACAUGCAAGUCGAACGGUGAAGGGGUCUGCUUUUGUGGGCCCUGGUUGAGUGGCGAGCGGGUGAGUAACACGUGAGUAACCUGCCCCCUUCUUCUGGAUAACCGCAUGAAAGGGUGUCUAAUACGGGAAAUUCUGGGUCUGUCGCAUGAUGGGUCUGGGGACGGUUGCGCCUUCGGGUGUAUUUGGUGGGGGGUUGGCUCGCGGCCUAUCUGCUUGAUGGUGGUGGGAUGGCCUACCAAGGAGGUGACGGGGAGCCGGGCUGGGGGGGUGGCAGGUCGCACUGGGAAUGAGGCCCGGCCCAGACUGCGACGGGGGGGAGCAGUAGGGAAUAUUGCAGGAUGGGCGCAAGCCUGAUGCAGCGACGCCGCGUGAGAGAGGGAGGCCUUCGGGAUGUAAACCUAUUUGGCAAGUGAAGCAGGCCUGCUCAUUGUGGGUGGGUUGACGGUAGCUGGAUAAGAAGCGCCGGCUAACUACGUG